rnacentral:rRNA from 1 species
ACGGAAGGCAGCAGUGGGGAAUAUUGCACAAUGGGGGAAACCCUGAUGCAGCAACGCCGCGUGAAGGAUGAAGGCCCUUGGGUCGUAAACUUCUGUUCUAAGGGAAGAUAAUGACGGUACCUUAGGAGCAAGUCCCGGCUAACUACGUGCCAGCAGCCGCGGUAAUACGUAGGGGGCGAGCGUUAUCCGGAAUUAUUGGGCGUAAAGGGUGCGUAGGUGGUUUCCUAAGCAUGGGGUUUAAGGCAAUGGCUUAACCAUUGUUCGCCCCAUGAACUGGGUAACUUGAGUGCUGGAGAGGAAAGCGGAAUUCCUAGUGUAGCGGUGAAAUGCGUAGAUAUUAGGAGGAACACCGGUGGCGAAGGCGGCUAUCUGGACAGUAACUGACGCCGAGGCGCGAAAGCACGGGGAGCAAACAGGAUUAGAUACCCUGGUA